UCUUCUUCUAUUUCAAGUUUUCCCUUUUAUUUCAGGUUCACGAGAGAUAGCUAGCUGGACUGAUCUCCCAAGGAUGGAAGUUUCUCGACGACAGGUGGUUGCAGGAUGGUUUUCUGUCCGUCCGUUUUAUAGUCUGUUCGGGUAUUUCAGGCCUGAGCUCAAUCCUAUCUUUCUCGCGCACGCUUGGACCAAUUUCAUCCAGCGGACUGGCUUCGAGCAACUAACGUAAG